UUGACCUCGAAUCAGGUAGGGAUACCCGCUGAACUUAAGCAUAUCAAUAAGCGGAGGAAAAGAAA
rnacentral:rRNA from 1 species